CCUUACCCUUGCCCUUGCCUGGUGCAUGAGGUCUGAGAAGGCUCCGUCUGCACUCCCAUCUGAAGCCCAGCUGAUGGACAUCAACCCUUGGAGCCCAAACCAGACCUUGGAUUUCACACGAGCCAGGAUCCAGAAUGAUGGUUCCACAGCCUUGAAGAGGUUUCAGACAUGCAGUAUUAUUCUCUAGGAAGCAGCAUCCCCCUCUCUCCCAAGCACCCUUUGCAAAUUGACUCCACAGCCCUCAAAACCUGGAGCUGACGCCAAGCAUUUCAAUCUUAUCAAAAGUAAACUAGGAGCACAAAUGUACAUUAAAAUUGACUUUAAAGUUAUGGCAGUGAAAUUACAUGGAGAAAAAGCUCUGCUUUGGGAAAAGCCCAAAGGAAAACCAAUAAACAAGAAGGAGCAGAUUCCCCCCGGAAGUCUUUCUGGCAGGGUGCAUUUCAGUGGGGUGGGAGCCUGGGAAGAUGCUCACCAUGACUGCUGGGGCCUCCAGAGGCAAGAAUGUGGUGCCAGAUGGGUGGCAUUUGCUGACAUUGAU